rnacentral:lncRNA from 1 species
CGGGGAUUGGCAGCCCGCCCCGCGGCCCGCCUCCUGCCUAGCCUCGUCUGCUAUGUUUCCAUGGGCUGUGGACCCUUCUCUCCCGCGGAGGGCGCAGCCGCGGCUACUUGGUAGCGGGUUCGGGGCCCGGCCGCGCCUGCGGCGGCGAGAGCCAUCCUGGACCGACCUCGGGCCUGCGGAGGUUGUGUGCGGCGUCUGCGGGGUGCAGCGGCCUCAGUUCUGAGCGCAGGUAGGUCUCGGUCCUUGAGCGAAAUGACACGGCCCAGGCCCUGAGCGCGUGGCCAGUGGCGACCGGAGGGUUUCCCCGGCGCGUGAUUGCGGCAGGGGCCUAAAUCCGGCUCUGCCUUAACGUGGGGAAAAUUUACGUUCACGGGCUCCACCAGCACAACAGCUGCUUCUAGUGGGUUGUCAGAAUUGUUAAAGAAACUGCUGAGAUCCAUGGGAUAUUGACGAAGCAGGCGCGCAGGAAACCGUGGGGAACCCUGUAAAAACCCACAUGGCCCUUUCCUGUGCCCUUUUAAGGUUGACGCAGUGCCUUAAGAGGCUAACACAGACGGGCAAAGCAAGUCUCCAUAAAACCCUGAGAGGAGAUUGUCAGACUCCUCAUUGGAUCCUGUCUGGAGUCACAGCUGAACCACCAGAAAAUUCCUUCCAGUUUAAGCAUCUUUGUGAUAUUUUCUACACAGCUCAGCACAAGUGAUGAAUUCAAACUUAACCUUAGCAUUGGUGGUACAUUGAGGUAAGGUGUUGGUAUUUGUCACUGAGGGCAGGAACAACCCACUAGAAUGACUUAAAGACUGUAAGUUGAGAACGUCUGAAGGCACUGGCUGACAGAGGUCGUGAAGCUUCCAGAGCCCAACUUCACUGGGCAGAAAUAGCAGUUUCCUACUCAGACCAUCAACUAUUUCCAGGUACUCAAAACCUCCCCCAAAACGCCUUGAAUCAAUUUUGUCCCUCCCUCUCCCAAAGAUGAAUGAUUAUACAGAUCUUUGUGAGUAGCUGGCUACUGCCACCAAUGGAUUCCCAUUUUGCUGCCCUUGCCAAACUUUUAUGUGCCCUCCCAAAUACAACCACAGAACCCUCUGCUGAGGCAUGGGCCUCCUCUGAAGCAUUGAAACUAGCGUUGUCCACCCGUGCUCCCCCCAGCCCUCAGAUUACCCAGUUUUGACAAACCUUGUAACCUAUAUUGCCGUGAAAAUACUGGGAUAGCUGCAGGGAUUCUAGGGCAAGUCUUUUCCUUUCAGAAGCAUCCCGUAGAAUAUUUCUCAUCAGUUGGACCCUGUGACUUCAAGCCUGCCUCAAUGCCUAUGUGCUGUGCCUCAGCUGCCACCUCGAUUAACAAACCAGUGCCCUUACACAAGUUUCCCCUUUCACCUUUGUAUUCUGCAUGCUGUGUCAGCUCUCUUACAAGUCUAUACAAUGGCAUCUCUCUGCUGAAAGACACACCACCUAUGAACAGGCCCUGUCAACCAACCCCUCCGUCAUCUUGUACUCCUAAAACUCCAAACACAGCUACGCUAUUACCCAUUCCGAUGAUAAACAACCCUACUCUAUUCUCUGUAGUUGCCUUACAACCAUAGAGAUGCUUUCUAAACCACAAAAAGACCUCUUAGAUGCUUCCUUUAGCCAUUCAGACUUGCUCUAGUCUGUGAUGGCUCUUGUUAAUGAGCCAGUCAGGGAAACUGACUUGGCUGUAGUUUCUCCACAUGAAACACUUGCAGCACACUUUUGUCCACUAUAAAAUCAGCCCAAGUUGCCAAACUCAUCGCUCUUACUAAAGCUUAUACAUUGGCAAAAGAGAAAACUACCAAUGUUUGCACUGACUAGAUCUGCCUUUGGCUCUCAUGCUGUUGGCACUCUUUGGAAGUUCCACAGAUUCUUGACCUCUGCAGGUGCUUCUGUCACCAAUGGGCAUAUCAUUGCUUCCCUGUUACAGGAUGGUUGUCUUCGUACUGAAAUUGGUAGAGUUCACUGCCCAACACAUACCGAGGAAACAUGGCACAAUAUCUAUAGGAAAUGAUAAGGCUAACAAAGCUGCUAAAGGGCAGCUGAGAGUGGGUCCCCAUCCCAUCCUUUCCCCACCCAGCUUGCGUGCCUCCCCUUAUCCCUGACUGUGUAUUACUAGCCAUCAGGCAAGUGCCCCACAACCUGAAAAAGAAAUAGCUACAAAAGGGUGCCAAGCAUUUAUCAGAUGGAUUAUACAUUGGACCAAAUGGACUUCCUUUAGCCCCUUUUCCUUUGACCUUUUGGCUGGUACUAGUCUCCCAUCAAAUGGAACAUGUGCAAGCGGAAUGAUCAAGCAGGGAAAAGACAUUUGGUUCUCCCCUGGCAUCCACAGCAUUUCUGACCAAAUUGUUUUCCAGUGCACUACCUGUCAAUCUCACUGAGUUUCUGGAGGUAACCAGUGUACCUCAAGGAGUGCUUCAAGACCCACACUGCCAUUUAUGGCACUCCCCAUGGACUUCAUAGGUUUACCUCCAGUCUUGGGUGAUUCUCACUGUUGGGUUAUUGUCUGCAUAUUUAGUGGAUGGACUGUGCUAUCCAACUAGACAUGCUGAUGCCACAGCAGUUGUAAAUAAACUAAUAACUUAGAUUAUUCCUUCUUUUGGCAUCCCUUUAUGAAUUUAGUCAGACCAAAGAGCUCACUUUAUAGCAGAAAUAAGUCGCUUGCAAAGAUUCUGGGAGAUUCAUUAAAAUUUUACACCCUCUACCAUCCCCAAUCCUCAGGGCAAGUGAAAUGUAAAAAUCUAGAAAUAAAAAGAACCCUAGGAAAAAAUCUUUUGGGAAACUAGACUUAAGUGGUCAGAAGCAUUAUCCUUGGUCCUUCUACAGAUGCAGAAUACUCCAAAAUGACCCCUUUUGAAAUAGUUUUUGGUCACCAUGUGUCUGUUGGCAUCUGUAAACCUUCCAUUCCUGGACUGGAUGAGCAUUAUGGGCACUUGAGUGAACAAUUCAAUACUAUGACUAGUUAUAGAAAAGAACUAUUAUACUUGGAGCGUAUUGUCAACAGGUGAAGAAAGCAUGGUCUUCACUGACUGACAAACCUUGCCAUCCCUUUCCACCAGGAGAUGGUAGAUCAAAGUUUUUAGAAGGAAACAUGCAUUGUCACCUCCCUGGGAGAGGUCUUAGAAAGUACAGCUAAUCAUCUAUACUGUCAUCAAAAGUCCUCUUGGAUUCAUGCGAAACACACCAAGCUACAUCCAGAUUGUCACUCCGUGGCAAUUAGAAGGCCAUCCCUAUGAGUGACCUCAAACUGAGGCUUACCAGAACCACUCAAACUCCAGAACCAGACAACACCAUGAAGUAGACAGCUUUACCCAAGAUCUUGGAUCAAGAAUUUUGUCUCCAUUUAUCUUCCCUUGGUACCUCUACUCUCCCUGACCUGGAAAAUUCUCUGACCUAGAAAUUUAAACAAAACUCUUCCUCUUUUAUUUACAGAAAGAUUGGCUAGAGAUUGUUUGUAUUAACCUAUUCUCCCCAUGUUCCUCCACUAUGGACUCCCUUUCUGACUGUGUCUUGCUUCAACUAACACUUGCUGUUUUUUCAACAAUUCUAGAAGAACCCCCACACCCACUCACACUGGUCUUUCAAACCCUGGCCACCUUAACUAAUCAAUCUGAUUGCUGGUUAUGUCAAGAUCUAGAUAACACACAAAGACCUGAACUAGUUUUUGUUCCUGACAUUGCAAGUACCUGGUGAACCCAUUCUGGACAAUGGAUGUGUGAAAGGGAAUGGUAUCCACAAGCAGGAGGACAAAAUCACUCUCAUUCCUCCUAUGCUAGAGUGAUUUGCAUUGGGAAACCCCUGUGGAAGCUCAAGGUCUAUCCUUUACUCAGGUGAGGCUAUUGGAGAGAAAUUUUUCUCUUUGCGUUGAAAAUAAAAAUGGCACUGGACCCUUCCUAGGUAACAUACCAGAACAAUACUGUCAUCAACACUAUGGUUUGAUUCCACAAAUGGCACCUUCAAACCCUCUGUAGAUGUUAUAAAUGAGUCCAUUUAUAUGGAUUAUUAUGAUGCAAAUGUUGCCUAGUCACUGGACAGUAUUCCUGGCUCACAGGCAGCAUAAAUGGCAGCUGGAACAGCUCAGCUAUUCCCCUGGUUGGUCUGCCCAAUACCCAGGACUACAAGUAGGUAGACCAAAAUUCUGGAGUGACUUGGUCAGGUAAUGACACCUGCCUCUAUAACUGCCAAAGUCAAAUCAAAGGUAUUUCACAACCUGACAGAGGCUCGUGGGGAAUGAAGAUGUGCAGAUGCCACUACGACGAAUGACAAAGGUCACAAUGGACACCGGACCCCAACCUGGUGGAUCACUUCUUCCACUCUGACCUUGUCUGUGAACAAUGCUGGUCUCUUUAUGUGGCAAUAAAGUAUAUAAAGGGUUCCCACCUAAAGGGUCAGACGUUGUGGACCUGGAUACCUGGCACCUUCUCUCACCCCUUGAAAUGCUAGCCAGAUUCCAGACCUGGGCUUCUUCAAGCACCAAUUAGACGCACCCAAUGAGACAUCAGAGACCAUCCACUCAUGCAUCUCAAGACCAAUUCAAUAAGGACCCUUUUUCCAAGUUUAGGAACUUCAGAUCUAGAAGAAGCAAUUUCAAACAUCUCCAUAUUAGGUAAUGGAGCAAGGAUUCGCUGCCACUGGGCAGACCUUGGAAGCACGCCAAUCAGGAUUUACCAGAUGAGCCACUGUACUCCAAAACCCUCAUCUCCUGCGUACCCCGGCUGCCCAACAAGGAAGACCGUGUGCACUCAUUGGCAAACAAUGCUGCUUCUGUGUAAAUAAGACAGGAGAUGUAAUGUCUCUUGUGAACCAUGUAAAAGAACAUGUCAACAUUCUGUGUCAAAUGAACGAAGCACAGUCCUUUAAUUGGACUGGUCCGUUCUCGGGAGUGGGAGACUCGUUCAUUGGGAUAUGGGGCUGUGUGUUUGGAUUUGUUCUUUUCUGCUUUCUCAUCCUUGUUCGAAUCUGUGUCGUUGUUUCCUUUUGCAGAUCUCUUACCUCCCGACUUCUAACCCAAAUCUGUCCACAGCAAUCGACCCAGUUUUUUACCUGUGAAACUUCGUUUCAAACAGGGAAAUGAAGGGACUAACACCCAGGAUGGCAUAAAGACUAUUUUAAACUGACAACAGGUGAACAAACAGCAGCUGCAGAAAAAAGCCUUCCUGCAUUCCCUUUGAUGAGUAAAGCAGGCCUUUCUGAGAAUUCAGCUGCCAUAACCCUCUCCAAGGGGACCUCUGUAAGGGUGGAGCCUGACUUUGCAUCAGGACCUCCCAGGGAAUUGUGUAAAUACAUCCUAUCAGAACCUUCCAUACUUUCCCACUGCAGCCUUAACACCCUCCUCACCCAUCCCAUUAAGCUGUUGUAUAAAAUCUUAUCUCUGCACUUCAGAGAGCUACUCCUUAUAGCGUGCUCCUGCAUACAUAUAUAAUAAACUUUUCUCCUAUUAAUAUGUCUGUUAGCACACAGGCCCUCAACCACUUGAACCUAAGUUGGUAGAGGCAAAGUUUUCCUCCCAAUGACACUUUCUAGACUUCUCCGGAUACACUAGAGUGUUCAAACACAUAACGAAGUUUGGAAACCUUGACUUUGUUUGAAGUUGGAAGAAUCUACUGUACAUGUACACGGGCUUUCUGGGAAUCCUUUUAAAUUUGUCUCAAACAAUAAACUUUGGGUAGUCACCCUGUGUGUUUAAUAAGUGACUGAAAACUUUAUUUGCCUUAGGGAGAGAGCUAUAAGCCAUCUAAGCUGGGAUGAUGGGCUGUGCUCUCCUGAUUUCCUCUGGGCGUGUAAUCUGCGGUCUAAAGGGGCUUUGUAGGUGAGUUGUAGCCUUCUUAACCACCAUGGGCGGCAGCAGGAACAGUGUAGCAACAGCGGAGAGGUAGCAUUUAUUGUAUUGGACAUGUCACUGCCUGGUCCUGUGGUGAGUUCCUUAUGUUUUUCUGUUUAAUCCUCACACAGUGUUCUCCCCAUUUUACAGAUGCAUAAACUCAAAGGGUAGGUACCUUGUUAAAGAUUUUACCAUUCCCGAAAACAAGAGCAAGAUGCAGACAAGGGUGUCUAGUGUGCUACCUUUCAUAAAGCAGAGAAAAUAAGAAAAUAUGUAUGUAUCAUACACAUAUUUAAUCAAUUUUGCAAAUAGGCAAUUCAGGAAGCAUAAGCCAGAAGCUAAUGAAAGUGAUUACAUAUAAGGAAGGUGGGCAAUGAGACUCCCCCCCCACCUUUAAAAGUUGAAUAUAAUCAAACUGGUGAACAUUAUAGCAAGUGGACAACUUAUUCACAUGGAGGAAAUAAUUAUUUCAGGUUACACACACACACAGUAUUCUGGGUACGUCUUUAGAGGUGGGUUUAUUGUUCAUAAUGUUGUCAAAGAUAAGAAAAAACUAUUCCAGUGGUACAGCACGUAAUAAGAAGGCUCCUGAGAAGUCCUACAUCUGUUCCUUUCCUGUGCCUGUUAAGCAAAGUGUAGCUAAACUCUUGCCUUGAAACAAGAGAAGCCAUUAAAAGAUAAGCAUGCAUCUUUCAGUGCUAUGUGUUUGUGGUGUGUGGGUCAUGAGGUAGAGGAGGCAUUCAGGGUACUGUAUUAGAGUGGCAGAAGUGUUAUAAGUACUUGGGGAAAGGGAUCUAGAUUCUUGACACAAUCUCCAUUUUCUGUAAAAUGGAGAUAGACAGUAAAGGGUGGGUAGGGCCAGGACUGCUUACUCAGUGGCCUUUUUGACUGUAAUAAUGAUUAAGAGUUUAUGAAUGAAUGAAUUUCAGGAGAAUGUUGAUAGCUGCUGGCCCGUGGAUUCCGUGUUCAAAGGUCACCGUUAAAGGGGUUUGAGACAAACUAGAUUAUUUGUUCACUUGUGUACCUAUUGUCUGUUCCCUGCUAGAAUGUAAGUGCCACAAGGACAGGCGUAUUGAAUCACAAUGAAGAGGGUGCAGUGAGGAUUAAUUAAUGCACGUAAAGCCCUCACAGCUGACCUUGGGUGUUGCUUAACUUAGUGUAAGAAUGAGUUCACUUAUAGCCAAGAAGAGUAUCUGGCUAUUUUGAACCUUGGCAUUGGCUGUUAGGUGUAAAUUUUAAAAAACACUUGAGUAAAGUUGAUUAUACCACUUGGAGUUCUUAUCAUGGCUUACUUUGUUUCCCUUUUCAAGUGUUCAAGUACAUUAUAAACCUCAUACAUAUAUGCAAAUGUACUUAUUUAGCCCUUAUUUCACGAUGUCAAGUGCUAACAAAGUUAAGGGGAACAGUUGUGAAAUGAGAGUACAGUCAUUGGAAUGUUAGAAAAUGUCUAUUGGAAGGUAGAGUCUUAUUUUGUCAACUGGCACGAGUGAUUUCAAGAUGUGUUAAGCCACACAAUAUUGGGUUAAAGGAUAUGAAGCUUUCCUGCUUCCAUAUGUAAGGUUUGUAGGAUGAAAAGUCAUAGAAAAUAGCAAAAUUACUAAUGAUGGACACACAGGCAUUUAUUAUUUGAAAAUUAAAUUAUUUUGAAGGAAAAAAAUCCUCUUUUCAUCAUUGUGCAACGAAUGGAGCACAAGAUACAUUGGUUGCCAAAAGAGUUUAUUAGCCAGCUCAGAAGGCUUAUCAGACGUUUUAGCAAUUCAUUGAAUUAUUUAUCAACAUUUACCAAGACUCAAUGAAAGAUGCCACAAGAGAAGGGCCAUUGUAAUCAAUUCUGUUAGAAUUAAGAGUGAGCCUUUGAAUGAUGUUUGUUAUAGUGAUGAAUGAGUUGAACACCUGAACCUACAAAUAGAAUUAAAAUACCUCUCCAAAAGACAUUGUUUUUAAGUGUUUUUGUUUGCAAAUUGAUGCCAUUUUAGAAGUUUUGGCUUAAUGAAUUAAAAACAUCAAAACUGAAGUAUUGUUAUGCAA